UACGAAGGGGGCUAGCGUUGUUCGGAGUUACUGGGCGUAAAGGGCGCGUAGGCGGCGCACCAAGUCAGGCGUGAAAGCCCUGGGCUCAACCCGGGAAUUGCGCUUGAGACUGGUGUGCUCGAGUACGGGAGAGGAUAGUGGAAUUCCCAGUGUAGAGGUGAAAUUCGUAGAUAUUGGGAAGAACACCGGUGGCGAAGGCGGCUAUCUGGACCGUAACUGACGCUGAGGCGCGAAAGCGUGGGGAGCAAACAGGG
rnacentral:rRNA from 1 species